rnacentral:rRNA from 1 species
GGAUGCGAUCAUACCAGCACUAAAGCACCGGAUCCCAUCAGAACUCCGAAGUUAAGCGUGCUUGGGCGAGAGUAGUACUAGGAUUGGUGACCUCCUGGGAAGUCCUCGUGUUGCAUCCC